rnacentral:rRNA from 1 species
UACAGAGGGGGCAAGCGUUGUUCGGAAUUACUGGGCGUAAAGGGCGCGUAGGCGGCCUGUUAAGUCGGACGUGAAAUCCCUCGGCUCAACCGGGGAACUGCGUCUGAUACUGGCGGGCUUGAGUAUGGGAGAGGGAUGUAGAAUUCCAGGUGUAGCGGUGAAAUGCGUAGAUAUCUGGAGGAAUACCGGUGGCGAAGGCGGCAUCCUGGACCAUUACUGACGCUGAGGCGCGAAAGCUAGGGGAGCAAACGGG